GAUGAACGCUGGCGGCGUGCCUAAUACAUGCAAGUCGAGCGAACAGACGAGGAGCUUGCUCCUCUGACGUUAGCGGCGGACGGGUGAGUAACACGUGGAUAACCUGCCUAUAAGACUGGGAUAACUUCGGGAAACCGGAGCUAAUACCGGAUAAUAUAUUGAACCGCAUGGUUCAAUAGUGAAAGACGGUUUUGCUGUCACUUAUAGAUGGAUCCGCGCCGCAUUAGCUAGUUGGUAAGGUAACGGCUUACCAAGGCAACGAUGCGUAGCCGACCUGAGAGGGUGAUCGGCCACACUGGAACUGAGACACGGUCCAGACUCCUACGGGAGGCAGCAGUAGGGAAUCUUCCGCAAUGGGCGAAAGCCUGACGGAGCAACGCCGCGUGAGUGAUGAAGGUCUUCGGAUCGUAAAACUCUGUUAUUAGGGAAGAACAAAUGUGUAAGUAACUCUGCACGUCUUGACGGUACCUAAUCAGAAAGCCACGGCUAACUACGUG
rnacentral:rRNA from 1 species